rnacentral:piRNA from 1 species
UGACAGUGACUAACAGGUCUAGUCAUGGU